AAUCCGUGUUGUGGGCAUUGUCAAAGUAGACCUUUGUGUCGUUCCCAAGCUUGUGAAUAACAUUCUGAAUCCAUUUGCUGAAAAGUAGUGAUCUCGUUCCUUAGAUU
rnacentral:snoRNA from 1 species